rnacentral:snRNA from 1 species
AAUGUUAAGCGUAUGCAACAAAA